AUGCUACUGCAGCACAUAUACUGAAAUUGGAACGAUACAGUGAAGAUUAGCGUGGCCCCUUCACAAGGAUGACAAGCAAAAUCGUGGGAUUGAAAGCAUUCGG
ensembl:snRNA U6 U6 spliceosomal RNA